rnacentral:rRNA from 1 species
CUGCCUGCCCAGUGACUAAAAGUUAAACGGCCGCGGUAUCUUGACCGUGCGAAGGUAGCAUAAUCACUUGUCUCCUAAAUAGAGACUGGUAUGAAUGGCAAGACGGGGCUUCACUGUCUCCUCCUCUUAAAUCCUAAAUUCACAAUCCCGUGAAGAGGCGAGAAUGAAUUCGUAAGACGAGAAGACCCUGUCGAGCUGAAACAAAACUUUAACUUCUAUUUGCUAUUGAUCUUAACUAAUCAAUAAAGAUAAUAAGAAAACAAUGUAUAUUAGAUUAAAGUAAGUUUUGAUUGGGGCAAUCCCGGAGGAAGACAAUCCUCCGAUACUACAAGGCUAUAAACUAACUAAAAUUAAAAGAACAACAAUUCUGAAAUCAUAAAAUGAAGGUAUGAUCCACUCACAGUGAUCAAAGGAACAAGUUACCGCAGGGAUAACAGCGUUAUCUUUUCUGAGAGUUCAUAUUGACGAAAAGGUUUGCGACCUCGAUGUUGGAUCGGGACAUCCUAAGGGUGCAGAAGCUUUUAAGGGUUGGUCUGUUCGACCAUUAAAGUCCUACGUGAUCUGAGUUCAGACCGGCGAGA